GCUAUUUCACCACACCAGGGUU
rnacentral:miRNA from 12 species